rnacentral:rRNA from 1 species
GACGAACGCUGGCGGCGUGCUUAACACAUGCAAGUCGAGCGGUAAGGCCCUUUCGGGGGUACACGAGCGGCGAACGGGUGAGUAACACGUGGGUGACCUGCCUUUAGCUCUGGGAUAAGCCUGGGAAACUGGGUCUAAUACCGGAUACGACUCCGCGGUGCAUGCUGUGGGGUGGAAAGCCUUGUGCGGCUGGAGAUGGGCCCGCGGCCUAUCAGCUUGUUGGUGGGGUGAUGGCCUACCAAGGCGACGACGGUAGCCGGCCUGAGAGGGCGACCGGCCACACUGGGACUGAGACACGGCCCAGACUCCUACGGGAGGCAGCAGUGGGGAAUCUUGCGCAAUGGGCGAAAGCCUGACGCAGCGACGCCGCGUGCGGGAAGAAGGCC